rnacentral:rRNA from 1 species
AACACGACUCUCGGCAACGGAUAUCUCGGCUCUCGCAUCGAUGAAGAACGUAGCAAAAUGCGAUACCUGGUGUGAAUUGCAGAAUCCCGCGAACCAUCGAGUUUUUGAACGCAAGUUGCGCCCGAAGCCUUCUGGACGAGGGCACGUCUGCCUGGGCGUCACGC